rnacentral:lncRNA from 1 species
AUUGUUUAUCGAUUUGAUCACACGACCUGUUGGGAAUCCGGUACUAGCUCCGGUAUCAGAUUUUAUAAAUCUGCAACCCGCUCUGAUACUGACUGCUGUGGAUUCGAUACCAAUUGUUGGGAUUCCGCAACGGAAACGUCGAAUCUGAUUUUUACCAUAAACCCGUCUCCGUCUCCUCAACAAAAGCUGAUACAAUCACAAAAGAAAAAAAAAUCAAAACAGAAAAUAUGCGGAUAAAAUAAAAUUCAUUAAAUAAGAGAAUAUUACACGUAACUCCUUUUCUGCAUAGAGUAGCUGCAAUUUGAGCCCUCUUUCUUGAAUCUCUCUUACCCUUCUUUCGUCUUUUAUAAAUCUAAAAGACAAUCCUUCGUGUGCACUUAUACACUAGGUGCACUCAACUCACUAACUCUCUCUCUCUCUCUCUCUCACGGCAACGAGGAAUUCUACACUGUCACACUUACACCACGUCAUCAAUAAUAAACUAAUCACAUUUCUUCUUCUCAAACAAAAGUACAAUAAAAAUAUUUUUUUACAAUCAUAAUGGGACAUAUACCCUUAAAAUGAGACAUUUGAUUGAUUUGUUACGCCACGUCAUCAAUGUACCCGUUGCAUUCUAGAAUUUUUCCACGGCAACGAAGGCUAGCCGUACACACCUCUCAGCCCUUUAUAGCUCUUGGCUAAUUAAUUUGCCCCAAUGCAUUAUAUAUAAUGCUCAACCAAAGAUGUAGCUAAUCCUAAUAUAUUUAGAAUUCCUAUUUUAAUUAAUAUCUACAUCUAUCUUAAUUAAUCUCUACUAGAUUUAAAUAUUAAUCAUAAUCUAGUUAAUUUUAUCCUCUAAUUAAUAUCUAAAUCUUAAUUUAUCUCCAACAAACUUAAAUAUUAAUUCUUAUCAAACUAGAAUUAAUCUACAAAUCUAACUAAAUCCUAACACGACCGUCUUCGUGAGACGCUCGAUCGAUCAAAUCAAUCAUGCAUUG